GUUUUUUGAGCAAAGUAAAGUCAUAAGGUGGUGUGCAGAAGACCAGCAAGUCAAUGAUCCUUCCCCUGUUGUUUAAACAAAGUAAAGUAAUGAGGUGGUUUGAAGAAGAGCCCAAGCCAGUGAUCCUUCGUCUGUUGUUUUAGCAAAGUAAACUAAUGAGGUGGUUUGCAGAAGAAUGUCAAGCCAGUGAGAUCCUUCGUUUGUAGGUGUUUGGGGAAAGUGAUAAGGUGGUGUGCAGAAGACCGUCGAGCCAGUGAGAUCCUUCCUCUGUUGUUUUAGCAAAGUGAUAAGGUGGUUUGCAGAAGACUGUCAAGCCAGUGAGAUCCUUCGUCUGUUGUUUGGGCAAAGUGAUAAGGUGGUGUGCAGAAGACCGUUAAGCCAGUGAGAUCCUUCCUCUGUUGUUUAGGCAAAGUAAAGUAGUGAGGUGGUUUGCAGAAGAGCGGCAAUCCAGUGAUCCUUCAUCUGAUUUUUGAGCAGACUAAAGUAAUAUGGUGUUGUGCAGAAGACUGGCAAGCCAGUGAUCCUUCCUCUAUUGUUUAAGAAAGGUAGAGUAAUAAGGUUGUGUGCAGAAGACCGGAAAGCCAGUGAUCCUUCCUCUGUUGUUUAAGCAAAGUAAUAAGGUGGUUUGCUGAAAGCUGGCAAGCCAGUGAUCCUUCGUCUGUUGUUUGAGCAAAGUGAUAAGGUGACUUGCAGAAGACUGUCAAGCCAGUGAGAUCCUUCCUCUGUAAGUAGCUGUCUUUAUUGCUGUGUGUUCUGUGCUGUGUUCAUCCUUGAGAUAGUGAAGUGCAAGCAAUUGAAGUCUUGCUUUCGGUGUUACUCCAUUGUACAGGUUGUUUGAGCAAAGUGAUAUGGUUCUGUGUAGAAGACUGGAAAGCCAGAGAUCCUUCCUCUGAAACGUAGUUGUCUUUAUUGCUGGGUAUUGUUUGUGCUGUGUUCAUCUUUGAGAUAGUGAAGUGCAAGCAAUUAAAGUCUUGCUUUCGGUGUCUGUCCUUUGUUCCAGUUGUCUGAGCAAUGUGAGUAGGUGGUAUGCAGAAGACCGGCAAGCCAGUGAGAUCCUUCCCCUGUAUGUAGCUGUCUUUAUUGCUGGGUGUAGUGCAGUCUGUGCUGUGUUCAUCCAUGAGAUAGUGAAGUGCAAGCAAUUAAAGCCUUUCUUUCUGUAUCUCUCUUUUGUGCAGGUUAUUAAGCAAAGUGAAGUAAUAAGGUGGUUUGCAGAAGACCGGCAAGCCAGUGAUCCUUCCUCUUUAAGUAGCUGUCUUUAUUGCUAGGUGUGGUAUGGUCAGUGCUGUGUUCAUCCUUGAGAUAGCAAUUAAAGUCUGGCUUUUGGUUUCUCUCCUUUUUGCAGAUUGUUUGAACAAGGUAGCGUAACAAGGUUGUGUGCACAAGACUGGCAAGCCAGUGAUCCUUCCUCUGUUUUUUAAGCAAACUAAAGCAAUAAGGUGGUCUGCAGAAGACCGUCAAGCCAGUGUGGUCCUUCGCCGUUUGUUUGAGCAAAGUAAAGUAAUAAGGUGUUGUGCAGAAGAUGGGCAAGACAGUGAUCCUUCAACUGUUGUUUGAGCAAAGUGAAGGUUCUGUACAAAAGACUGGAAAGCCAGUGAUCCUUCCACUGAUGUUUGAGUAAAGUAAUGAGGUGGUGUGCAGAAGACUGGCAAGCCAGUGAUCCUUCCCCUGUAAGAGACGAGGUGGCACAGUGGUUUGGGUGCAGUACUGCAGGCUACUUCAGCUGACUGUGAUCUGCAGUUCAGCGGU